UACGAAGGGGACUAGCGUUGUUCGGAUUUACUGGGCGUAAAGCGCGCGUAGGCGGAUCGCUAAGUCAGGGGUGAAAUCCCAGGGCUCAACCCUGGAACUGCCUUUGAUACUGACGAUCUGGAGAUCGGGAGAGGUGAGUGGAACUGCGAGUGUAGAGGUGAAAUUCGUAGAUAUUCGCAAGAACACCAGUGGCGAAGGCGGCUCACUGGCCCGAUACUGACGCUGAGGCACGAAAGCGUGGGGAGCAAACAGG
rnacentral:rRNA from 1 species